rnacentral:lncRNA from 1 species
AUAUGUUUUGGUCAAAUACAUGUUUGUAUUUGCUCCUUCAAAAUUUGAAAGUCUGUGAUUCAAAAUUUCGCUUUUCCCAAAACAAAGUUAAAGAAAAUAUAUGAAGUCAAUGAUAAAUCUUAAAGUUUUACAAAGAGUAAUAAAUAGAAGUUAUUAAAUAUUGGUGGCUCAUCAUGCAAUGCUUUUGAGAAGGGCAUGCUUUCAAAGUUAAGAUUGCUUUCCUGAUUCCUACAGCAA